rnacentral:rRNA from 1 species
GAUGAACGCUGGCGGCGUGCCUAAUACAUGCAAGUCGAACGCACAGCGAAAGGUGCUUGCACCUUUCAAGUGAGUGGCGAACGGGUGAGUAACACGUGGAUAACCUACCUCAAGGUUGGGGAUAACAUUUGGAAACAGAUGCUAAUACCGAAUAAAACUUCGUAUCGCAUGAUACAAGGUUAAAAAGGCGCUACGGCGUCACCUAGAGAUGGAUCCGCGGUGCAUUAGUUAGUUGGUGGGUAAAGGCCUACCAAGACAAUGAUGCAUAGCCGAGUUGAGAGACUGAUCGGCCACAUUGGGACUGAGACACGGCCCAAACUCCUACGGGAGCUGCAGUAGGGAAUCUUCCACAAUGGGC